rnacentral:tRNA from 1 species
GGAAUUGUGCCUGAAAAAAGGAUCACUUUGAUAGAGUGCUUUAUGUGGGUUAAAGUCCCACCAACUCCU